rfam:Triticum aestivum genome assembly, contig: Triticum_aestivum_CS42_TGACv1_scaffold_602940_7DL
CACGUACUCCCUCCGUCCAAAAAUAAUUGUCAUAAAAAUGGAUAAAAAAUAUGUAUCUAGAACUAAUAUACAUCUAGAUACAUCCCCUUUUAUUCAUUUUGAUGACAAGUAUUUCCGGACGAAGGGAGUGCUAC